AAAUGAAGGCUGAAAUAGAAAAGAACAUGCAAAAAAAAUUCAUUGAUGAGGCUUCUUCGCGGUCGCAAUAAAAGAAGAAGUACAGCUUUCAUCGUCCAAAAUGGCGACAGAAAACUCCACGUUUUGGCGUGGAAAACGCAUGAAUGAUAUUUAAAGAAAGUGCAAAAUACAGGCAGUUGAAAAUUUGAACACCGCCCGGAGACAAAGAUGAAAUGAUCACAGAUGAAGGACGAAAUGCCUAGAGGAAUGAAUGGACCCAAGUAUCAGUAACUAUGGAAACACAUCACACAGGAGAGAGUCUGCUUAAAUCAGAAAGGAAGGAAAAGAACAGUUUUGAACGAAAACAAGGAAAGAAGUGGGAAUGAAUGGCUGAGAAAAAAUGCCAGAAAGGCGA